rnacentral:rRNA from 1 species
GUAGGGGCCAAGCGUUAUCCGGAUUUAUUGGGCGUAAAGAGCUCGUAGGCGGCUUGGCAAGUCGGUCGUGAAAGUCCGAGGCUCAACCUCGGAAUGCCGGUCGAAACUGCCAUGGCUAGGGUCCGGUAGAGGAGAGUGGAAUUCUCGGUGUAGCGGUGAAAUGCGCAGAUAUCGAGAGGAACACCAGUAGCGAAGGCGGCUCUCUGGGCCGAUACCGACGCUGAGGAGCGAAAGCGUGGGGAGCAAACAGGAUUAGAUACCCUGGUAGUCCACGCCGUAAACGGUGAUCACUAGGUGUGGCGGACUCAUUGACGUCUGCUGUGCCGGCGCUAACGCAUUAAGUGAUCCGCCUGGGGAGUACGGCCGCAAGGCUA